GUUUUUAUAAAGAAAAAAACGGCUUCUCAGUCAAAAGGGCCAUCGUACCCUCCGUCUAAUUUCUGACUCGGAGAGGAGAAAGUAAGACAGAAAGCAGAAGGAAACCUAAAGAAGCAGACAAGAACACAGCAGUGAGAGAGAGAGACGGAGAGACAGAGCUCUUUUAAACCAACAAUGAGAUGAGGAGAAGAGAUCCGUUCGUCUUCCCCAACUGCUUCGCCGUGGAUUGUAACCGGUUGUUGGCGCUUCUAUGUGUUUGGAAGCUACAUCGCUAGAGUUAGCAUGGGCGAGCCACGGCAGACGGCGCAUCCGAAGCAGCCGGCCGCUUUGAUCGCGACUCUGUCCAACGCCGUUGAGGCCCUUGGGCGGGGCUUCGAUGUCACUGCGGACUCACGACUGCUGUACUGCAAGGGCGCACCGGGAUCCCGCCUCGUUCGGCUCGACGAAGCCGUAUCAUCGGAUUUCGCCGUCUCUGAAUUUGGUGUUGGUCUGGCUGGUGUUCCUGCUGAUGUGGAUAUCGUUAGAGGAAGGCCGGGGCGGGAGACGACUCCGGUCUGUAGCUUCCGAGAGAUGGCAAUUCAUUUCAACAAGAAGUCAUCACUGACAGAAUCAAUACCUCUUGGAAGCUUUAAUUCUAUGUUCAGUUUAACGGGUUCAUGGAAAACUGAUGCAGCAGCAAUAAAAUCCCUGGCAGUGGUGGGUUAUUACAUCCCACUUUUUAAAGCUAAAUUGGUUAAUUUUCAAUUAGUUUUACAAGAUGAUGUGAAGCGUGCUGUUCCACGUGCUUGGGAGCCUUCUUCGUUGGCCAGUUUCAUUGAAAACUUUGGGACACAUAUUAUCACCUCCGUGACUAUUGGUGGUAGAGAUGAAAUAUUUAUCAAGCAGCACCGAUCAUCUCUUUUGCCUCCAUCAGAAAUUGAGAAAUAUGUAAAUGGUAUUGGAGAUCAAAGAUUUUUACUGUUGGAGAAUCAGCUUGGUGAGUUAUCACUGCAGAAUAGCCCUGAGACUCGAACUCAGCCAUCUGACAUUCCACAUCUAAGUGGGAAAGAGGAUGUUACAGUAAUAUUUAGAAGGAGAGGUGGUGAUGACCUUGUUCAGAAUCAUAUUGAUUGGGCAAAAACUGUUGCUUUUGCACCAGAUGUUAUUAACAUGACUUUCAUUCCCAUAGUUUCAUUACUGGAUGAACUGCCUGCAACAAAAUAUCUAGCUCGGGCAAUUGAUCUGUAUUUGGAGUUCAAACCGCCUAUAGAGGAGCUGCAGUAUUUCUUGGAUUUUCAAGUUGAACGAGUUUGGGCUCCGGCUCAAGAUAAUAUUCCUGGUCAUAUGAGGAAGGAGCCAGUGUGCCCUUCACUCCAGUUUAGCUUGAUGGGGCCCAAGCUAUAUGUCAGUUCACACCAGAUAUCUGUAGGUCGUAGGCCAGUCACCGGUCUCAGGCUAUGUCUAGAAGGAAGCAAACAGAAUCGGCUGGCAAUUCAUCUACAGCAUCUCGCUUCUCUCCCAAAAAUUCUUUUACCACACUGGGAUUCUCACAUUGGCAUUGGUCCACCCAAGUGGAAAGGCCCAGAAGAACAAGAUAGCCGCUGGUUCGAACCCAUUAAAUGGAAGAACUUCGCUCAUGUGAGCACCGCGCCCAUCGAACAUACUGAUACCAGCAUAGGCGACCUUUCCGGCGUUUACAUAGUUACAGGCGCUCAACUCGGCGUCUGGGAUUUCGGCGCCAAGAGCGUUCUUCACCUCAAACUUCUCUUCUCUAGAGUUCCUGGUUGCACAAUCAGGAGGUCAGUCUGGGAUCAUAGCCCCAAUCCCUCUUCAAUUGCGAUCGCACAGAAACUGGAUGAUGAUUGUACAACCUCAUCGUCUCCUUCGUCAAGCGAGCAGUCUAGUCUUCUUGGCAAGCUGGCGAAGAUUGUGGACACGACGAAGAUGCUGAAGGGGCCUCAGGACUCACCUGGGCACUGGUUAGUUACUGGAGCCAAGCUGGGAGUGGAGAAAGGGAAGAUUGUUAUUCGAUUAAAGUAUUCCUUGUUGAAUUACUGAAGGAUUCUUGUUGUUGUACUUGGUUCAUCUUGGUGAAGCAUAUUCUUUGCACAGCUGAGAAGUUUUCCUCUUGAUGUAUGCAGCACUUUUCAAAUAAGGAAGUAAGUAUCUUGAGGUUAGAGUUUACCUUGUAUGAGAUCUGGUAAUUGAGGAUGGUCUUUCCAUUUUUUUGUUCAUGUAUUUUAGAGGAAAUUUUAUUCAUUUUAAUUGUUUGUC